rnacentral:lncRNA from 1 species
AGCCUCCACCCGCCACCCCAGGAACCUCGUGCUUCUAGGUUACCCUGAUGGGCAGGACCCACUCCCAUCACUAAGAGAACAUCAAAAGGGCAGGUGUGGGGGUGGAUAGGAAGAUCAGGAUCUCUGAAAGGACUCCACCUGGACCCAUGAUUCAUGACUCAACCAGUCCACCCAGAAGCUGACUCAGAGCAUAAGGAGCAUUUUCCACACCCCUAGGAUUUCAUCUCCAACCAAUCAGCAUUCCCCAUUCUCUAGCCCCUGUCCACCAAACUAUUCUUUAAAAACCUUAGCUCUAAGCUUUAUUUAUUUAUUUAAGUAAUACACUCCUGUCUUCCACUUAGCUGGUUCUGUAUUUAUUAAACUCUUUCUCUACUGCCAUACCGCUAUCUCAGUAAAUUAGCUCUAUCUGUGCAGUUGGCAAGAAGAACUGGUCAGGUGGUUAAAACACUACAGAUAGGCAUUGUUAAACAAAACAAUGGACUAAGCCCCUGCACUAGGCUCCAACAGAACAGACAAAAUCAAAAUGGAGUCACUCAUGCUAAAUGUCAUAUAAUCAAACUGAAACUCUAAGGAAGCUGAUAAAUCCUAAAACAGACCUUUUUUUUUCCUGAAAACAGGAAAUUUCAGUCUACCAGAGUCAACCUAGUAAGAAAGUUGCCUCUUCUUUGACCUUUAUGAGAAAGUAACCUGAAGUAACCUGACAUUAAUGAAUCAGCUUCUCUUCUACUAUUCUGUUUCCUUACUCCCACCUUACAAAGCUCACUGCUCUGCUUGCCCUAGUGAGAGAACUCAUUCUAUUGUGUAGAGUAGAGUCAGCCAUGAUUCAUGAAUUAUGAAUAAAAGACAAUUAGAUCUAUAA